UACGUAGGGCGCAAGCGUUGUUCGGAAUUACUGGGCGUAAAGGGCUCGUAGGUGGCCAACUAAGUCGGACGUGAAAUCCCUCAGCUUAACUGGGGAACUGCGUCCGAUACUGGAUGGCUCGAGUUUGGGAGAGGGAUGCGGAAUUCCAGGUGUAGCGGUGAAAUGCGUAGAUAUCUGGAGGAACACCGGUGGCGAAGGCGGGUCUCUGGGCAGUAACUGACGCUGAGGAGCGAAAGCGUGGGGAGCGAACAGG
rnacentral:rRNA from 1 species